GGUAUUUUGAAUUAUUAAAAAAUCACAGGAAAAACAUAUUGAAAGAAAAACAAAACUAAAAUGUGGCAGAGAAGAGAAAGAAACAAAUGGGCGCAAAGGAGUAGAGCAAAAAGAGAAAAAAGUGACAAACUUUUUUGUCAUGUCAGCACAAAGUUAACGUCAUUUCUACAUACUUGAUUAAGGCAAAUUUUAUAAGAUGUGGACGCAAUUGAAACUUUUUUAAAAGGUAGGACUAACUUGACAUACUGCAACGAAACUAAGGACAAAUAAAACAAUUAAACCUAAAUUUAAUGGACUAAAUAAUAAAAUAAAACAUGAACUAAAGGAAAAAUGUUUAAAUAUUAAUAUACUUAUCAUCUCCACCUAUACACCUAUCUCUUUUUUCCUUAGAUAAACUUCAUUCCUUCUAUCUGGUCCUAAUUGAGGCAGAAAAUUAUCUAGAUUCUAACAGUCUGAACAUAGUAACUCCAAACUUCAUUACUGACAAUGAGGUAUCUAUAAAGACAAAAUUGAGUCACAUAGAUAACAAGUCACUAACCAUUUGGGAUAGCAAGAGCAUAAAGAAGCUAUAAUAUCCUAUAUUCCUGUAGUUGGACUGAAAAGUUAGAUACAAUCUAAUUGAACAGGAAACUAUUUGAAUAAGUGACUAUUAUAAGUCUAAGAUGAGUUUGAGGUUCACCUAUUUGACAUGUAGAUUAUGAAUAUAGACACCCCGGAUUAAAAUUAUCACAUGAUACUCCAACAUUAGCUUAUUGUGACAAAACUCUGAUCCAAUACCUAGAUACUAGUUGUACUCUUCUCCAAUAAGGAUUGGAGUUCACUCCGACAAAAUACAUAGACAUUUGAUGAAAUUAAUUAUUAUGCAAAUCCAACUCCGAUAUGAUUGUAGAACAACAAACAAUAUUUAUGGUAUUGUAUCUAAGUUUUAUCUAUCGUUUAACAAACGUAAAUGUUGAUACUCCACUGUCUUAAAAGAAGUUUAGAAUGGAAGUUUUGUUUGCACAAGCUCUGGUUCAGUUCCUGUAUAUUUAUUUUUGUUUUUAUCCUUGCAAUAGUAGUUUUUUCAUGGCACAAUAUCUUUCUCAUGCAAAUAUUUAAAUUCACUUUUAGUCCUUGAAAUUUUUUGUUUGUUUAUGGUCCAUGUAAACAUGUCACUUAUGCGUUUAGCCUCUGAUAACAACAUUAUGACAUCGACAAGACACAAUCACCGUAAACAUUUUUGUAAUAGAGCAUGACACCAAAGACUAAAACCAACAUUCUAAAACUUCAAAAGCAAACUUAAAAAACAUUAGGAACUAAAUAAAAAAUGCUAAUACAGUUGGAAGUCUCACAUCGAUUAGAGAUAAGGCCAAUUUAUAAUAUAUAAGAGGGUGCAAACCUCAACUUACAAGUCGGUUUUGUGGGGUUGAGUUAGGCCUAAAGUCCACUUCUUAACAUGGUAUCAGAGUCAGGUUAGAGCCUAACCUAACGAUAUUUGUUGUUUGUUGGGCAUAUUGUUCAACCCGAUAUCGGGCAAUUAUUGGACCACCUAUUAAUGUCUAGUCUCACGCUCGAGAUGUAUAUACAUCAGCGUGAGGGGGUGUGUUGGAACCGACAAGAGAUAAGGUCAAUUUAUGAUAUAUAAGUACGUGCAAACCUCACCUUAUAAGCCGAUUUUGUGAGGUUGAGUUAGACCUAAAAUCUCCUUCUUAACAAAUACUAUAGAGACCAAAAAUAUAUUUAAUCAUUUUUUUUUUCAAUUACAUGAAGUUCUUUUUUCCUUUUUCUUGACUAAUGAAAAAGCUACAAUUGCUAUGCAGGCCCUUCGAAAUUAUAACUGAUGUUGGGCAACUACUUUUCACAUCUCAAUUUUUUGAAACACCCACUAUGUCCCGUGUAAUUUAUAUUUUGUGCUUCUUUUAGCGGGGUAAUCUUGUGAAGUGCUGGUACAGUAGUAAUGGUGAAGUGCUUCAAUAGAUGCAGGAAACGGUUUCACUCUUCCAGAUUAAUCAAAGAUUCAGCAUACAUUUGGAUUGAAACCAUUAGGGCUUUCAUCCGGAUUAAUCAAAUAUUGAAAUCAAAGAAAAUUAAUUUCCGGAUUCAACAAUCCAAAAGUGAGAAAAAAGAGUUAAUUCCAGAAUAAUCAAUCCAGAAGAAAAACAUUAUUCCGGAUUAUGCAAUCCAUAAUUAGAUAGGUUCUUUAAUCAAGAACCUAUAGAAAACACACUUUACACACGCGGAACACACAACUCAGAACUGUAUAACCUCUUUGUAUUACCAAACAAUCAAGAAUACAUGAUACAAUUGGAUACAGAGAGCUUAACCUCCCCCUACAAGACAAAAGAGUUCUUGUCAACUAAUAAGACUCCAAAACUAACUCUCCCCAAACACCCCAACCCCUUUUAUACAGACUUCUAGCCACCUUUCCUAACUGCCUUGGCAGUUAGGCUGUGUAACGUUUCUCCUUCUUCUAUAUACAAGUAGUUUCCUAUCAUAAUGUAUUUCUGGUUUGCACAAUCCAAAAAUGAAAAUUCAAUUCCAAAUUGUGUAAUCCAUAAUGUAUUUAUAGAUUAG
rnacentral:sRNA from 1 species